GAGAAGUAAUAAACUCCCCCACUUUCAUUUCUCUCUUCUUAAUUCUAAGUUAGUGGUCCAUCUAUAUGGUACUACGCGUGUAUAUAGUACUUCAAACUAAACUAAUUAACUAGCUUGGUAUACUUGAGCACUUGAUACGAAUUCUCAUGUUCGGUCAUGAACCGACAAAAUACAACACGUUAUCAGCACGAAUCACUCUUUUAGAAAUGUCGACUCCAUGUUUACGUUGCUGGUUGUUAUGGGAAAUUCGGUGGAGUGCGACUUCAGCAUAAUCAUUAUCCGGCUAUACAUAUUUGUGUGGAAGCAGAUCACUUGCAUCAAGGGAUAUGUGAAGCUGAUGACAACAUGAAGAUCACGAAUAAAAAUUUCUUCUUCAUAUUUCACACUCAUUUACGAAAAGUAAUUUUAUAUAUGUAUAUGCAUCCUAGUACUAAUUGCGUGGUUCAUGUUUGUUGUUUUGAUCAGGAUGGCAACCAAGCAAAACGGGUCCAAUAGCAAACCUGCUAUCAUGUAUACAUGCAUCAAAAGCGCAUUUGAACUUCCUGUUUCAAUAAUCUCCACAAAAUUUAAAAAUAAUUCCACCAGAAGAUGGAUAUCGUGCGACAUAGUAUGGAUGUAAAAGCGCGCUCCGCUAGCCCGUUGGUCUCAGAAGUGACCCGUUACAAAGUGCUAGCCGGUUUCUAUAGGCGGUCCCUGAAGUGACCAACUAGGCAACUUUGCCAUAAAUAGUUUAUCCAUUUGCGCACUUGUAAAUUAACAUUUCGUUGACCCUGAAGGUGACGAGGUUGGAGAUUUGUUGAUAUUGUAUUAGUACCAUAUUUGUUUUGAUGUUUAUCCUUUGUUUUAAGUUUUGUUUA